rnacentral:rRNA from 1 species
AAGUGGAGCAAUCCAUGAGUACAGUGGCGUACGGGUGAGUAACAUGUGACUAACCUACCCUCGAGUGGGGAAUAACCUCGGGAAACCGGGGCUAAUACCGCAUAACAUCCCCGGAUCAAAUGCGUAAGCAGCUUGAGGAGGGGGUCGCGGCCGAUUAGCUAGUUGGCGGGGUAAUGGCCCACCAAGGCAAUGAUCGGUAGCCGGCCUGAGAGGGCGCACGGCCACACUGGAACUGAAACACGGUCCAGACUCCUACGGGAGGCAGCAGUGGGGAAUUUUGCGCAAUGGGGGAAACCCUGACGCAGCAACGCCGCGUGGAGGAUGAAGCCCCUUGGG